AGAUAGAGAGGCAGGGAGAGGGAACAACCAAGGCCUGAGGGGACAGAAGUGAGGGGUGGGGACAGAGAAGGAAAAAAAGGGCAUGGAGACCAGGAGAAAACAGAGGCAGAGGCAGUCAAAAUGCAGAGAGACCGACAGCAAGAGAGACAGCAACGGAACAGAGGCCGAUGGAGAGAUGGAGACAGAGAGACAGAGAUACACAUGGAGAUAAUGAGAACCUGGUACCUGGACAGCACCAUUCAGCGUUGGAAACCCAGGUGGGCUGCUGUGCUCAGGAGCCACACUGGAUUGUUGUGUUGGGGAGCGUGAUGGGGACUCCCAAAGGAUACACUCUGGCUUUUCAAAGGAAUCAGAAAUUGGGAGGAUUUGGUUAUAAGUGUCUUCUAAUACCAUGUGAAACAAGAUUUUGAAAAAAAUAUGCAUUCUGAGAAUAUAAA